GACGAACGCUGGCGGCGUGCUUAACACAUGCAAGUCGAACGGAAAGGCCCCUUUGGGGGUACUCGAGUGGCGAACGGGUGAGUAACACGUGAGUAACCUGCCCUUGACUUCGGGAUAACUUCAGGAAACUGGGGCUAAUACCGGAUAGGAAUCCUUGCUGCAUGGUGGGGGUUGGAAAGCUUCGGCGGUUUUGGAUGGACUCGCGGCUUAUCAGCUUGUUGGUGGGGUAGUGGCUUACCAAGGCUUUGACGGGUAGCCGGCCUGAGAGGGUGACCGGCCACAUUGGGACUGAGAUACGGCCCAGACUCCUACGGGAGGCAGCAGGGGGGAAUAUUGAACAAGGGGCGGAAGCCUGAUGCAGCAACGCCGCGUGCGGGAUGACGGCCUUCGGGUUGUAAACCGCUUUCAGCAGGGGCGAAGCUUGUGGUGACGGUACCUGCAGAAGAAGCACCGGCUAACUACGUG
rnacentral:rRNA from 1 species